rnacentral:rRNA from 1 species
AUUGAACGCUGGCGGCAUGCCUUACACAUGCAAGUCGAACGGUAACAGGUCUUCGGAUGCUGACGAGUGGCGAACGGGUGAGUAAUACAUCGGAACGUGCCCGAUCGUGGGGGAUAACGAAGCGAAAGCUUUGCUAAUACCGCAUAAGAUCUACGGAUGAAAGCAGGGGACCGCAAGGCCUUGCGCGAACGGAGCGGCCGAUGGCAGGUUAGGUAGUUGGUGGGAUAAAAGCUUACCAAGCCGACGAUCUGUAGCUGGUCUGAGAGGACGACCAGCCACACUGGGACUGAGACACGGCCCAGACUCCUACGGGAGGCAGCAGUGGGGAAUUUUGGACAAUGGGCGAAAGCCUGAUCCAGCCAUGCCGCGUGCAGGAUGAAGGCCUUCGGGUUGUAAACUGCUUUUGUACGGAACGAAAAGACUCUGGUUAAUACCUGGGGUCCAUGACGGUACCGUAAGAAUAAGCACCGGCUAACUACGUG